UACGUAGGGGGCUAGCGUUGUCCGGAAUCAUUGGGCGUAAAGAGCGUGUAGGCGGUCCGGUAAGUCCGCUGUGAAAGUCGGGGGCUCAACCCUCGAAUGCCGGUGGAUACUGUCGGGCUAGAGUGCGGAAGAGGCGAGUGGAAUUCCUGGUGUAGCGGUGAAAUGCUUAGAUAUGACAUAGAACACCGAUUGCGAAGGCAGCUUGCUAAACGAUUAUUGACGCUGAGGCACGAAAGCGUGGGGAUCAAACAGG
rnacentral:rRNA from 1 species